UAGGGAAUCUUCCACAAUGGACGAAAGUCUGAUGGAGCAACGCCGCGUGAGUGAAGAAGGUCUUCGGAUCGUAAAGCUCUGUUGUUGGUGAAGAAGGAUAGAGGCAGUAACUGGUCUUUAUUUGACGGUAAUCAACCAGAAAGUCACGGCUAACUACGUGCUAG
rnacentral:rRNA from 1 species